rnacentral:rRNA from 1 species
GAUGAACGCUGGCGGCGUGCUUAACACAUGCAAGUCGAACGGAGCUUGUCUGAUAGAGGAUUCGUCCAAUUGAUUUCAAGCUUAGUGGCGGACGGGUGAGUAACGCGUGAGGAACCUGCCUUGGAGUGGGGAAUAACACAGUGAAAAUUGUGCUAAUACCGCAUAAUGCAGUUGAGUCGCAUGGCUCUGACUGCCAAAGAUUUAUCGCUCUAAGAUGGCCUCGCGUCUGAUUAGGUAGUUGGUGAGGUAACGGCUCACCAAGCCGACGAUCAGUAGCCGGACUGAGAGGUUGGCCGGCCACAUUGGGACUGAGACACGGCCCAGACUCCUACGGGAGGCAGCAGUGGGGAAUAUUGGGCAAUGGGCGCAAGCCUGACCCAGCAACGCCGCGUGAAGGAAGAAGGCUUUCGGGUUGUAAACUUCUUUUGUCAGGGACGAAUAAAUGACGGUACCUGACGAAUAAGCCACGGCUAACUACGUGCCAGCAGCCGCGGUAAAAC